AUGACAGUUCUAGAAUGUGUGUUCCUUCUGUCUCUCAUCUCAGCUGUUCAGGGGCAGUCACUCACCUCCUCUGAGCCAGUGGUGAAGAGACCUGGAGAAUCAGUAACACUGUCCUGUACUGUGUCUGGAAUCUCCAUGGGUAGCUACUGGAUGCACUGGAUCCGUCAGAAACCAUGGAAAGGACUUGAACAGGCUUCUGGUAAAGGGUUGGAAUGGAUAGCUUACAUUUAUGGUCCAAGUGGUAGUAGCAUCUACUACUCCCAGUCAGUUCAGGGUCGGUUCAGCAUCUCCAGAGACAACAGCAAGCAGCAAGUGUAUCUCCAGAUGAACAGCCUGAAGACUGAAGACUCUGCUGUUUAUUAUUGUGCCAGAGACACAGUGACACAGGAGGCUGCAGCACCGUACAAAAACUGA